rnacentral:rRNA from 1 species
GACGAACGCUGGCGGCGUGCUUAACACACGCAAGUCGAACGGAAAGGCCCUGCUUUUGUGGGGUGCUCGAGUGGCGAACGGGUGAGUAACACGUGAGUAACCUGCCCUUGACUUUGGGAUAACUUCAGGAAACUGGGGCUAAUACCGGAUAGGAGCUCCUGCUGCAUGGUGGGGGUUGGAAAGUUUCGGCGGUUGGGGAUGGACUCGCGGCUUAUCAGCUUGUUGGUGGGGUAGUGGCUUACCAAGGCUUUGACGGGUAGCCGGCCUGAGAGGGUGACCGGCCACAUUGGGACUGAGAUACGGCCCAGACUCCUACGGGAGGCAGCAGUGGGGAAUAUUGCACAAUGGGCGGAAGCCUGAUGCAGCAACGCCGCGUGCGGGAUGACGGCCUUCGGGUUGUAAACCGCUUUCGCCUGUGACGAAGCGUGAGUGACGGUAAUGGGUAAAGAAGCACCGGCUAACGACGUG